AGUUUGCAGCUGGCAGGCAGGCAGUAGCAUUGCCUGGCUGCAAGGCUCCAUGCAACAUCCUGGAGGCAUUCAAGGAAAAACAAUUUAAAUGGGAGAGGUUACAGACUUAAACAGACUGAUCAACCUUGACAUAAGUAGUGCCUUUGCCAGUGUGUCCAUUGCUUUUAGUAGGAGUACUGGAUUUCCUGGCUGUCAUUUCUCAUGUGUACUAGAAGGGACAAGCUAACGGUCCUCAGGACUGUCAAAUUCAGUCACCAAGCACAGAAGAUCUUACUUUUCUGAAAGACUACAUCUCCUUUUCCUGAAACUAUAAUUCCACAUCUCUGUUGAAGGAGUUCUGAAUGUGCAAGGAAUUUUUUUUAAUUAUGUUCUUCUUGCACUCUAUGAAAUGUCCUGGCUUCCUUUAAAUUGUGGAACAUAACUGCUGGAAAAUGGCCCAGUAACCUGUUAAGAGGCACUAUUUUUUGCAGAAGACCAUAUGUCAUGGAAUAAAUGAAUUGUGUUUAUUUCUAAAAUCUAUUUGCCUCAAGAAAUGUCCUAUUUAAAGUUAACCUUUCAAUUUUUUUAAGGUAAGAAAUGAAAAAUAGUGGAGUUUUACCUGUAGAAAUAAGCAGUAGU